UACGAAGGGGGCUAGCGUUGCUCGGAAUCACUGGGCGUAAAGGGUGCGUAGGCGGGUCUUUAAGUCAGGGGUGAAAUCCUGGAGCUCAACUCCAGAACUGCCUUUGAUACUGAAGAUCUUGAGUUCGAGAGAGGUGAGUGGAACUGCGAGUGUAGAGGUGAAAUUCGUAGAUAUUCGCAAGAACACCAGUGGCGAAGGCGGCUCUCUGGGACGGUACUGACGCUGAGACGCGAAAGCGUGGGGAGCGAACAGG
rnacentral:rRNA from 1 species